GGAGCCAGGGACAUUGAGACAGUCACCUCUUGGGCUGCACCGGUGCUCCUGGGAGACGCAUUCAUCCAGGUCUGCAGGAGAUGGAGCCCAGACCCCCCACCCCAUGGUACUCACCGUGACAUUCGAAGCCAUCCCCCACCCAGCCUGGCAGGCACCUACAGCUGAAACUCCCCGGGAUGUUGAGACAGGAGGCGUGACUGUCACAGUUGUGUCCUCCAACCUCGCAUUCAUCCACAUCUAAAGGGAGAGGAGGCACGACGCCAAGACCCAGUCACAGAAGGAAAGACUCGAUGCAAUAGCAGCGGAAAGGGCAGGGACUCUUCCUCUCUAGGGGAGAGCUGGCCCAGAAAGCCUCCUCCCAUUCACCUGGGGAGCUUCCAUCUUUACCCAGAGCCCAAGAGGAAAACCCCGAAACCCAACAGACAUGACUCUCAGCAGCCCUCAGAAAUGGCCUGAAAUAGCAGCAUGAAAGACUUGGGGUAGAUAUUAAGAGUGACUGUCCAGCCGGGUGCGGUGGCUCACGCCUGUAAUCCCAGCACUUUGGGAGGCCGAGGCGGGUGGAUCACGAGGUCAGGAGAUCGAGACCAUCCUGGCUAAUGCGGUGAAACCCUGUCUCUACUAAAAAUACAAAAAAAAAAUUAGCCAGGCGUGGUGGCAGGUGCCUGUAGUCCCAGCUACUCAGGACGCUGAGGCAGGAGAAUGGCGUGAACCCGAGAGGCGGAGCUUGCAGUGAGCAGAGGUUGUGCCACUGCACUCUAGCCUGGGCGACAGAGUGAGACUCCGUCUCAAAAAAAUAAAUAAAUAAAAAAAUAAAAAAGUGACUGUCCGUAUGAACACGCCCCUUUUCCAAGCCAGGAUUUCCCUGUCCACCAGCAUUUCCAAUCCAGAGUCAAUUAUGCCUCACCCUUAUGAUCUCUGCCAUGUUAAACCUUGGUGAGCUGCUGUUACUAAACAUUUCUUUCCCACACUUCUGUUUUCCCUGACAUAAAUUGUGUUUUAAAAGACAAUUUUGGAUCAACAUCAACAACCUCUAAGAAGUCAUAGGCUUGAUGCUCUGUUAUGUAACACUUGUUUCUAAU
rnacentral:lncRNA from 1 species